rnacentral:rRNA from 1 species
ACCUGGCGGCGAGUGGCGAACGGGUGAGUAAUAUAUCGGAACGUACCCUGGAGUGGGGGAUAACGUAGCGAAAGUUACGCUAAUACCGCAUACGAUCCAAGGAUGAAAGCAGGGGACCGCAAGGCCUUGUGCUCCAGGAGCGGCCGAUAUCUGAUUAGCUAGUUGGUGGGGUAAAAGCCUACCAAGGCAUCGAUCAGUAGCUGGUCUGAGAGGACGACCAGCCACACUGGAACUGAGACACGGUCCAGACUCCUACGGGAGGCAGCAGUGGGGAAUUUUGGACAAUGGGCGCAAGCCUGAUCCAGCAAUGCCGCGUGAGUGAAGAAGGCCUUCGGGUUGUAAAGCUCUUUUGUCAGGGAAGAAACGGGUGGGGCUAAUAUCCUCACCUAAUGACGGUACCUGAAGAAUAAGCACCGGCUAACUACGUGCCAGCAGCCGCGGUAAUACGUAGGGUGCAAGCGUUAAUCGGAAUUACUGGGCGUAAAGCGUGCGCAGGCGGUUUUGUAAGUCUGUCGUGAAAUCCCCGGGCUCAACCUGGGAAUGGCGAUGGAGACUGCAAGGCUAGAGUUUGGCAGAGGGGGGUAGAAUUCC